rnacentral:misc_RNA from 1 species
AACUUGUGGAUGUGGCGCAGCAUUCUGGUGGCACCAAGCACCCUGAGAUGUGCAUGUUUUGCUGUGGCUACAACGAUUUCCCGGAAAACCAUUUCGCCGAGAUCGCAAUGUCCAUGAACUGGAUGGACCCCGAAAGCGUCGUGCUGAUAAUGCAGCCGGAUGAGGGAUCUACGAGGGUGAUCCGGCCCUGCGAAUUCGACUGUUAAUGACCACCACAUUUAGUUGCCGAAAGUUUGCAAAUCAGAAGGAGGGGAAUCUCCACUGGAGAUUCGGAAAUGCCAGAUAUCUGGAAUGCGAAUCUCGACAGAAGGUUAUUGAAGGCAAAAGAGGC